GACGAACGCUGGCGGCGUGCCUAAUACAUGCAAGUAGAACGCUGAAGGAGGAGCUUGCUUCUCCGGAUGAGUUGCGAACGGGUGAGUAACGCGUAGGUAACCUGCCUGGUAGCGGGGGAUAACUAUUGGAAACGAUAGCUAAUACCGCAUAACAGUAGAUGUUGCAUGACAUUUGCUUAAAAGGUGCAAUUGCAUCACUACCAGAUGGACCUGCGUUGUAUUAGCUAGUUGGUGAGGUAACGGCUCACCAAGGCGACGAUACAUAGCCGACCUGAGAGGGGGAACGGCCACACGGGGACUGAGACACGGCCCAGACUCCUACGGGAGGCAGCAGUAGGGAAUCUUCGGCAAUGGACGGAAGUCUGACCGAGCAACGCCGCGGGAGUGAAGAAGGUUUUCGGAUCGUAAAGCUCUGUUGUAAGAGAAGAACGGGUGGGGGAGGGGAAAGUUCACACUGGGACGGUAUUUUACCAGAAAGGGACGGUGAACUACGU
rnacentral:rRNA from 1 species